GCCUUGUAGCGGGGGAUAACUAUUGGAAACGAUAGCUAAUACCGCAUAACAAUGGAUGACACAUGUCAUUUAUUUGAAAGGGGCCAUUGCUCCACUACAAGAUGGACCUGCGUUGUAUUAGCUAGUAGGUGAGGUAAUGGCUCACCUAGGCGACGAUACAUAGCCGACCUGAGAGGGUGAUCGGCCACACUGGGACUGAGACACGGCCCAG
rnacentral:rRNA from 1 species